rnacentral:rRNA from 1 species
GACGAACGCUGGCGGCGUGCCUAAUACAUGCAAGUCGACCUUAGUGGCGAAUGGGUGAGUAAAACGUGGGUAACCUGCCCAUCAGACUGGGAUAACACUUGGAAACUGGUGCUAAUACCGUAUACUGAUGGAUGGAACCGCUGUGGAUUAGCCAGUUGGUGAGGUAAGGGCUCACCAAGGCCACGAUGCAUAGCCGCCCUGAGAGGAUGAUCGGCCACAUUGUGACUGAGAAACGGCCCAGACUCAUACGGGAGGCAGCAGUAGGGAAUAUUCGGCAAUGGACGAAAGUCUGACCGAGCCACGCCGCGUGAGUGAAGAAGGUUUUCGGAUCGUAAAACACUGUUGUUAGAGAAGCGGUAUCUAACCAGAAAGCCACGGCUAACUACGUGCCAGCCGCCGCGGUAAUAC